rnacentral:misc_RNA from 1 species
GAAGUUCCCUCCAGAUGUUGUCCUUUAUGUUGAUCGGCUAGAUGAUCACACAAGAGACCUUAAUGAUUUUCUAUUGUUAGCGUCACUCACAAAUUCUCUCACUCCAUCAGUAUGGCGAAACGCCAUUGUCACCCUGACCCAUGCAGCGGCUACUCCUCCUGAUGGGCCAUCUGGAUCACCGUUAAGUUUUGAGGUGUUUGUUGCUCAACGAUCGCACAGUGUUCAGCAGGCUAUCAGCCAAGCAGUUGGUGAUCUGCGU